UACAGUCAAACCUGAUUAAACCGGACCCUGAAUAAACCGGUUUCCUGUCCAUUCCGGCCGAAAAUGAAAGUCCCAUUUUUUUCCCUUCAAAGUGUUUGUUAAAAUACCCUUUGUAAACCGGACUCUGUGUAUUCCGAAUUCCGGUCUAAUUAUGCAGUCCCAAUACUCUUAAUUACAUUAAUUAUGACCUGUCAAAACCGGUUUGUCCAUUUAAUUUAAAAAUCGAUAUGCAAUCAAAACAUAUCUAUUUAUACAGUAUGGCUUUUCAGGAUAAUCAAUUAGUCAGGUGUUAAACUGUGAACUGACAAUCGUACAGGAGUGAGCUGUAUUAUUUAUUGUAACAUUAAAAACGUGUCAAUUAAACGAAAAGUCAAAUCGAAUAUAUCUCGCAUUGAACUUGCGUUGUAACUUGGAUGAACAAAUUUAAAAAAUCGCGGAGUAAGAAAUUUACAUCGUGAUUUCGAAAUCCUGGGUUCCCUGUUGUGAACCCCUAAACACGUGACCUUGAUAAUGAAAAACACCCGGAUGGCAACAAUCAAUUGAUAUUGUACACUGUACGACAACGUUUCGAUAGUGAUGAAAUUAUGUUUGAUAAUAUUCUGGCUUUUUAAUCGGCCGUAUAAUUCAAACGUUUCAAAUUAACGUUCAUGGAAGAAAAUCGAAAUUCUCGUCUCACAAUCCAAACAACGCGAGUAUUAUGAUGCAAAUGCAAACAAUAAAAAACGAAGUGAAAGUAUUUUAAUUUAUCAGAUAUAAUUUACAAUCUGACAGAGAGAACGUUUACAUGCAAAAUAUCGGACUUCACAAGUCAUUAACUUCCGGUCAAAACGGAAACCUGAAUAAACCGGCUCACUGUCCAAACCGGCUCUUUUUCAAAGUCCCGUAGCCGGCCGGUUUAUACAGGUUUUACUGUA
rnacentral:lncRNA from 1 species